GUUAGUAACGCGUGGGAACGUGCCCUUCUCUACGGAAUAGCCUCGGGAAACUGAGAGUAAUACCGUAUACGCCCUUCGGGGGAAAGAUUUAUCGGAGAAGGAUCGGCCCGCGUCUGAUUAGAUAGUUGGUGGGGUAAUGGCCUACCAAGUCUACGAUCAGUAGCUGGUUUUAGAGGAUGAUCAGCAACACUGGGACUGAGACACGGCCCAGACUCCUACGGGAGGCAGCAGUGGGGAAUCUUAGACAAUGGGCGCAAGCCUGAUCUAGCCAUGCCGCGUGAGUGAUGAAGGCCUUAGGGUCGUAAAGCUCUUUCGCCAGAGAUGAUAAUGACAGUAUCUGGUAAAGAAACCCCGGACGUAACUCCGUGCCAGCAGCCGCGGUAAUACGGAGGGGGUUAGCGUUGUUCGGAAUUACUGGGCGUAAAGCGCACGUAGGCGGAUCAGAAAGUUGGGGGUGAAAUCCCAGGGCUCAACCCUGGAACGGCCUCCAAAACUCCUGGUCUUGAGUUCGAGAGAGGUGAGUGGAAUUCCGAGUGUAGAGGUGAAAUUCGUAGAUAUUCGGAGGAACA
rnacentral:rRNA from 1 species